GUAUAUAGUUUUUUAUAGGCACAAAGGCCCAUGAAUACAUUCUACAACAUGCUAUGGGGUAUAUGAAAACACAUAGACUUGUGAGAAAGUCACGACCCAGAAUUGAAGAUAGCCAAUUGGCAUUCCUCAUAUCCGAUAAAGUAUCGAGAUGGUCUUCGCUCAUCUCACACAAGACUACAAAUUGUGCACAGGUGGAUGGAUAAAGGUGAUGAGCGUGCACAUACUCCGAAGAGCCAGCUACAACCCACCAAGUUUAUUCAAUAAUGAUCCUUCCGCAGGUUCACCUACGGAAA
rnacentral:misc_RNA from 1 species